rnacentral:rRNA from 1 species
UCCGGUGGGCAGAGAAUAGGCCCAAGCGACUGUUUACCAAAAACAUAGGUUUCUGCUAAGUCGCAAGACGAUGUAUAGGAGCUGACGCCUGCCCGGUGCUGGAAGGUUAAGGGGAUCUGUUAGAGUAAUCGAAGCAGUGAACUUAAGCCCCAGUAAACGGCGGCCGUAACUAUAACGGUCCUAAGGUAGCGAAAUUCCUUGUCGGGUAAGUUCCGACCCGCACGAAAGGCGUAACGAUUUGGGCACUGUCUCA